rnacentral:lncRNA from 1 species
GUGGAACCCUAUGGGGGAGGUUAUAGGGUCACCCCAUAGGGACAUGAUCUAUAGGGUCACCCCAUAGGGAUGUUGUCUAUGGGGUCACAGCCGUGGUACCCUAUGGGGACAUGAUCUAUAGGGUCACCCCAUUGGGGAUGUCAUCUAUAGGGUCACCCCAUGGGGACAUCGUCUAUGGGGUCAUAGGUGUGGUACCCCAUAGGGACAUGAUCUAUAGGGUCACCCCAUAGGGAUGUCGUCUAUGGGGUCACAGCUGUGGUACCCUGUGGGGACAUGAUCUAUAGGGUCACCCCAUGGGGACGUCAUCUAUGGGGUCAUAGAUGUGGUACCCCAUAGGGACAUCGUCUAUGGGGUCAUAGAUGUGGUACCCCAUGGGGACAUGAUCUAUAGGGUCACCCCAUGGUGAUGUCGUCUAUGGGGUCAUAGCUGAGGGAACCCCAUAGGGGACAGCUGCGGGCACAGCUAUAGGGUCACAGAUGUGGUACCCCAUGGGGACAUUAUCUAUGGGGUCACAGCUGAAAUCACCCUAUGGGGACAGCUAUGGGGACAGCUAUGGGGUCACAGCUGUUGCACCCUAUGGGGACGGCUAUGGGGACAUCUAUAGGGUCACAGCUGUGGCACCCAAUGGGGACAGCUAUGGGGACAUCUAUAGGGUCACAGCUGUGGCACCCAAUGGGCACCAUGACUCGACCCCAUUAUUUUCACCCUUAAUAAAGA